UACGAAGGGGGCGAGCGUUAUUCGGAAUCACUGGGCGUAAAGCGUGCGUAGGCUGCUUGGAAAGUUGGGAGUGAAAGCCCAGGGCUCAACCCUGGAAUUGCUCUCAAAACUACCAGGCUCGGAUUCGGGAGAGGAUAGCGGAAUUGUCAGUGUAGCAGUGAAAUGCGUAGAUAUUGACAGGAACACCAGUGGCUCAAGCGGCUAUCUGGACCGACAUCGACGCUGAGGCACGAAAGCGUGGGGAUCAAACAGG
rnacentral:rRNA from 1 species